rnacentral:lncRNA from 1 species
AUUUUUUAUUUUAUUUUAUUUCUGUCUUUUUUAUUUUUAUUUUAUUUUAUUUUACUUAUUCUCAUUGCUUUUCAGACAACAAAAUAUGUUCAGCACUUAAACACAGAAAGGCUAAAGCAUGGGAAAGUAAAAGUCUAAGGGGAAGGAAAACACACAUCAUCAUUCCUACACAGAGAUAAACAAUGAAAAAGGGAAGAAAAGCAUGAAGGAGAUAAACAAGUACAAGUAUCGGAGGAGGGAAGACUAGGGCUUUCAGGAAGAAAGUCAUUCUGGCCACUGCUGUGCUGGGACCGUUUACUUGUCACAUGGUGCUUAAUCAUAAUAAAUUAAGUUUUAUUUUUCAUUUUGCAACAUGCUAACUUGGCUCAGCAGGUAAUGGGAGGAGUCCUGGGUCGCCAAAUGGUUUUUAACUGAGAAUAACAACAAUUUCCCCCCUGCAGGCUGGCAUAAAUAAUGUAUUUAAAACGUGCCUCUUUCGAGCAGAUUAUUCCAGCUGCUUCUUGUUCUUAAAGCUCGUUGGGAGGUUUAACACCAUAAAGUCAGCCCUCCUGAAGCUACAAUUAUCAUCCUCAAGCAGCAGUCCUGGGAAACGACCAAAACCAAGAUAGAAUCAACACUCCAUGAGUAUUGUACUUACGGGAGGUUUCAGUAAGAUAAACACUUCACAGAUAACUAAAGUUCUAGGGCUUCAGGCCAAGAUAUUUAUUGACUUAGAAGGUACUUAUCUCUUAGUUCACUCCCAUGUACAAAAAAUAAUGAUAGUAAUUACGUUAAAAAACAGAUCACUUUUUAAAUUAUUUAAAAGUGCUCUUCCAGAGUUUAACAGGAUAAUAAUUGCUCCAGCAGCUUUUAUGACCUGUGGGGAAAAAAUUAGCCAGAGGGAAAAGGAAGAUCCCAACCUGCUGUUUGUAUUUCAUUCUUAUUUAUUUAUUUAUUUUUAGCAUGGUAUCUUCAUUUGAAAUACACCAGACAUUUGGGGAGAUGGCCCAAAUGAGUACAAAUUAUUUCUGAGUAUAAGGAAGAUACAAGCUCCUUUAAAAUGAUAAUUGUAUUAAAAUACCCAGAAGAGAGAGAGAUUAGAGAAAUAUCAGACUGUGUACCUAGAUAAAAUUAAGACGUAACUAAAGUUUGUGGCAAUCAGAAUCUCACCAUCUCAGAGAAAUACAGACACCUGAAAAUGUCGUCCCCCCCUCCUGCCCCCCAAUUCCAAAAUAGAACAAAAUAUCACAGUAUGCAAAUUCUUAUGUUAUAUUUUAUGCAUUAUUAAAAUAUUUCAUACUUUUCUCAGCAUUGAUGAGACUACACCUGCGUCCGGUUCUGGACCCUGCAGUACAUGAGAGACAUGGAAAGAGUCGGGCCACAAAAAUGAUUGAAGGGACUGGAGCACCUCUCCUAUGAGGAGGGGCUGAGAGAUCCAGGACUGUUCAGCCUUGAGAAGAGGAGGCUCAGUAGUGAUCUUAUCAAUAUUUUUAAAUACAUGAAGGGAGGGUGCAAAGAAGAUGGAGCUGGGCACAAACUGUAGCACAAGAGGUUCUGCCUAAACAUCAGGAAGCAAGAGAAGCUGUGAGAGUCUCUUCCUUGAAGAUAUAGGAAAGCUUCCUGGACAUGAUCCUGGGCACUCUGCUUGAGCACAGGUUGGAUCAGACAACCUCCAGAGAUCUCUUUCAAUCUUAACCAUUCUUUGAUUCUAAUUUUUCUUUAGCUGCCCCAUAUUGCCAAUGUAAAAUAAAUCUUGUAACAAAGACCGUGUUUGCUUGUCU